CCCCCGAUCCCACGCCUUGCGAGCCGAAGCUCACGACCCUCUGGCGCCCCUGGCCAUCUCCGAUAGAACACUCCCCUUCCCCCUCUCCUCUUCACCCAAGCACGCGCAGACGCGGAGUCGGCGCAGCAGGCACAGGGCGAGAAGAGUGGCGCCCGACGCCGCUCGCACGUCCUUCCUAUCGCCAUUCUCUUGUUUCUGUGGCCGCAUCUUGCACCAUCUAGACGCACAGAAGCCCGCGCGAAGCGUCGUUGAUACCCGCCGCCGCCGCCCUCCCAAACUCUAUCAGACGGGCAGACACGCAGAGCGGCCCGCUAGACACUACUCCCCACGAGCGACGCACGCGCAUGCGUUCAUAGAGCCUCCGCUGCGUCUCGCCUUCUCUCCCUCCCCCCUUCCCCCUUCCCCCUUCCCAUCCUCCUGCUCCCCACGGGCUUCGCGCCUGUGUCCUCUCUCUCUCUAGCAUGCUCGCGUUCCUCUUCUCUUAUAUUUCUCAGAUUUGAUUAUAGAUUCCGUGGUUGUGGUUGUCGUGCGUGUCGGUCUACCGGACGUGUCGUACGGCGCAGUCCAUCACCGCCGCACUUUCCCUCUUUCGCACGUCGCUGCACUGGUGCAGCAACAUGGCACCUCUCACACAGCGUUGUUGCGGUGUGUCCGCGUCGUCUGCCAUACGGUCUUCGCCCUUGGCGGCGAGAACGAGGUCUUUUAUUCGUUUCUGCAUCGUCCUUCUCCUGCUGGCCUGCCACGCUGCCUGCGCUGCAUCGUCGACGGGCAAUGAAGGCAUCGACCACGGGCACGCAAGUGGCAAGAGUGGCGCGGCAGCGCACAACAUCGACAGUAGCAUCGGCGACAUCGCCGCACCGAGCACGAGCGAGCAGACCAGCGGGGCUGCCUCAGCACCAAUGCGUCACACAGCAGGGACAACACGCGCGGCCGGCCUGCUGACAUGCCAGGAGCUGUACGCCAAGCGCGCCUCAUCCUCCUCGCUGCCACUGUCUGGUGACUGCGUGCUCCCCCGCAUCAGCAAGGAGCUGAGCGGCGACCGCAGGGAUGACCUCCUGCAGCAAGCCUCGUCGGCGGAGGCGGCGGCGCGCAUCUUCAUCUGGCACAUCGGUCCACGCACACCGGCGCACCAAGCCCCGCUGCAGAGCACGUUCCCGAGCUACUUCAUGAACGUCAGCACCGCUGCCGCUGCCACAGCCGGUGGAUCGCAACUCUCCAGCGGCGCCGUCGGGGGUGUGCGAGGAAUGCUUCUGCCCGAUGCUGCAACGGCGUGGCGCGUGCGCAGCUACAACGCCCUGUACUCGGAUGAAGGACGUGCAGCGGCUGGCUCUCUCUCCUCAGGCUGGCACCACGGCACCGCCGGCGUCCAACGUGGAGAGCACGGCAGCGAUGCCCAAGCGGGCAAGAGAGGUGGUGACGCAUCAUCGUUGUCAUUCAUGAGAUCCGUGCGUGCCGUCGUACAGCCCAUCGUCAGUGUUGUCGCAGUUGUCGUGGACGUGUCUGGACUCGGGCAUUGCGUCCGGUGCUCCGCCACGGAGGUCAUUGCCAACCUGCGCGUGUUUGCGUGGCGCAGCGGCACGGCGUGGGCGCAGGUUUUCAUGCGCCGACGGGUGGCUCUGCGCAUCCAUAUAGGAUCGUGGUCCGGCACGGCCGCAGCAGCGGCGGCUGAUGAGGGCAACAGCAAAGGUGGUGCCGGCGGCGGCGAUGGCACGGUAACGAGCAGCAUGCCCCCUCACGUGAUGCUCUCCCGCAUGGCGAUGUCGACCCACGGCUCGGCUUCGCUCCUGCGCGUGGUUUCGUUUCCGCCCGUUGUGCAACUCGUGCCGAGUACGCAGUCUCAGCCGGCAGCCGCGUCGUUUGUGUGCUCUCUACCGGCCGUCCACGCAACCUCGCUGCUACUCGAGGAAGACGCGAUGGCGCGACGGCGAGAAGCCCAGCAGGCGGCGGCAGCGGCGGGAAUGGCGGUGUUUCCAAGAGGGCGGCGGCAGCGUGCACGCACAGGUCCGCCGUCGUCGCCGCCGAGCCCGCAGCUAUGGAUGGUGUCUAUCAUGAAGGAUGUAGUCUGCCUCGCCGCCCGCUUGCUCUCCGGCACGAGCCGCGGGGACGACGCGGCAGCCGCUGCAGCGGCUGCGUGGUCGCGUGCGGCAUCUAUUUCGGCCGAUGACGGUGUCUCGAGGUCGGCUGCCGUCGCAGCUGCACGGGGAUUCCGGGCUCGUGUACGAGAGGAGUUGGGGCCACAUCAGAACUUUGGUGAGUCGGUUCUCCCCAUCGCGCUUCAGCAGAUGCUCGGCAGUCGCACGAUGCACACGCACGCGCAACUCGUGGAGAACGAGGAGGUCGUGGCAGGUGAGGAGCGGGAGACGUUUUACAUGCAGUGGGAAGCAUCGCUGUCGGCCGGUAAACCGAUGUGUCUCGCACUCGUCGCCCUGCCGUCGUCCUCGGCGGCCGCGGCGGGCACUCUGCUUCAGUCAACCGCGGCAGCCGAUCAUCUUCCGGUGUCGUUGGAGGAGACGUGCAGCUUCGACAUUCUGUGGCUGCAGAUGCUAAUCAUGGCAUGGGUAGUAUGGCAACUCGAGCGGCGCGUCGCGCAGAGCACUCUCGUGAAGCACCUUGUGACAGGCCUUAGCGGCGUGCUGCUGCUGCUGCUCCUGCUGCUCUGGUACGUGAUCCGCCGUUUGCAGGGCACCUCGUUCCAGCUGGCCAUGCUUGCCAUGGCGUUGCUGCUGGGUGGGUCGACAGCGAUGAUGGACGGUCUUCUGAAUGUCGUGAAGAGCAUCAACUACAUGAUAUUGUCCCUGUCAGAGCCCGCGUCCGGCGGUGGGCGUGGGUGGGCCGGUGCUGAGGGCGGCGGCGACGCGGAUGACGACUCCUCCACUUCUGCACUGAGCGUCUUCGUGGUUCUCGGUUCUGGCCUUCUUGUGCUCAUGUGCGUCGGAAGCGGAAUCCUGCUCAACUGGCUCGUCCCGCCCGCUGUUCUGCGCGCCACAACAUUCUGGUGCGUGCGGGCGCUGCUCUGGACACUAUGGGGGCUGUGUGUACUGCGUAACACCGAGGCGACAGCUGUAGCGGCUCUCCUGUGGACACUGUGGCAGGCGCGGUCACUUGCGCGCGCCACGCCGCGCUUCUUAUCGCCGGCAAUGCGCGGCAAGAGUGUUGAGUUUUCGGUCAACGAUCCGCUUGAAGAGGUGCCGCACGACGCCCAGCAAGCGCGUGGGUACGUGACACCGCUGGCGGUCUCCUCGUGGGCCGCCACCUCGGGCAGCAGCAGUACGGGGUACGCCAGUCUGCGCACCUCGGGGGCCCGACUGAAGCGCUACGAGGAGGAGGGUGCGGAGUACACUCGGCGCGCGCUAGAGGAGCUGGCAGCGCACCUGCGCGCCAAUCCCGGUCGCUACGCGACGCGGCUUCGCGACCCGAAUGGUGUGCAGCAUUGGGCUGGCGCCACGAGCACAGAGACGGACGAAGAGGCGGAAGAGGUGGCGGCGGCAUGAAGGGCGGAGGGCGCUGGUGCGCCAGCAUCUUCUUUGUAUUGUGGUCUCCCUCCGAAUGCAAGACCACGCCGCUUGCCUUCCACACGCACGCACCACUUUUCCCUCUCCUUGCCGUGCAUCAUCUCCAACGCACAAAGAACUGUGGCGUUGCCAUCUCUCCGGCAUGUCUGUGUGGCGUGUGUAGCAUCGCUGUCUACCUUUUUUUGGGGGGGGGAUCGAGCGCGACACACCGUGCCGGCAGCCGGUCAUACGCAGAGUGCGCACGGCCGGAGACGCUAAAAAGAACGAUAAGC
rnacentral:misc_RNA from 1 species